UACAGAGGGUGCGAGCGUUGUCCGGAAUCACUGGGUGUAAAGGGCGCGUAGGCGGCUUUUCACGCGUGCGGUGAAAGCUCGGGGCUUAACUCCGAGUCUGCCGUGCGAACGGGGAGGCUUGAGUCUGGUAGAGGUCGAUGGAAUUCCGGGUGUAGCGGUGGAAUGCGUAGAGAUCCGGAAGAACACCGGUGGCGAAGGCGGUCGACUGGGCCAGUACUGACGCUGAGGCGCGACAGCGUGGGGAGCAAACAGG
rnacentral:rRNA from 1 species